CAUCUGAGGAGUGGCCAGUGGAGGUACCCCUAUGCUCUUAUGUAAACUGCAAAAAGUCUGAAGGGAAUGAUUAAUCAUCAGAACAAAUACAACGAGCUGUAGUAGUUCUGGUGACCAUAGUGUCCCUUUAAUGUAGUUGUUCUGGUGAGUAUAGUCAAUCCUUGCAGCCUUUUUGCAGUAAACACUGCCUUUUCAAAGAAAAGGCAGUGUUUUCAUUGCUC